AACGAACGCUGGCGGCAUGCCUAACACAUGCAAGUCGAACGAGACCUUCGGGUCUAGUGGCGCACGGGUGCGUAACGCGUGGGAACCUGCCCUUAGGUUCGGAAUAACUCCCCGAAAGGGGUGCUAAUACCGGAUAAUGUCUUCGGACCAAAGAUUUAUCGCCUUUGGAUGGGCCCGCGUUGGAUUAGCUAGUUGGUAGGGUAAAAGCCUACCAAGGCGACGAUCCAUAGCUGGUCUGAGAGGAUGAUCAGCCACACUGGGACUGAGACACGGCCCAGACUCCUACGGGAGGCAGCAGUGGGGAAUAUUGCACAAUGGGCGAAAGCCUGAUCCAGCAAUGCCGCGUGAGUGAUGAAGGCCUUAGGGUUGUAAAGCUCUUUUAACCGCGAUGAUAAUGACAGUACCGGGAGAAUAAGCUCCGGCUAACUCCGUG
rnacentral:rRNA from 1 species